UGGAAUUCUUACAAAGGAAGAGAUCAUAGUAACUUUGUCUUUGGAAUGUAAAUGUACAAACAGCUGUCUAAAACAUUAAAUUUAAACACUAGGAUGUAAACACUACAUAUGGUGUAAUGCAAUGAGAUCUAAGAGACCAUGAAGCCUGUAUCCUAGCUUGAACUGGCCCAGAAAGUUUAAGGUGGUACCCAACACUUUCACUAAAAUUAAUUUGGCUCGUUUAAUUUUCAUAAAAUUUUGCCAAAGUAUUUAUUUUGACACUUUAACAAAAAUAUAAAAAUUUUAAAAAUUUUGAACUAACCGUUUUGUCAGAAAAAUUACACUGGUUAUAUAGCAAUUUGACAAACACCAAUUUUGAUCAUUGAGAAGCUUAAUAUUCCCUUUACAACACAACGUAAUUAAAACGUUUGGCUGACUUUACAGAGUUAUCUCCCUGUAUUGUUAGGUACCACCUUAAGUUAUCUACUGAAAAUGAUGAGAGCAGAUUCUAUGGAGAACUCACGUUUAAUCAAAAGCUUUUUUAGAAAAUCAGCGUACCCUCUUUUCCUACCCCAUUUCAUUACAAAGUUAAGUGUGUUUCUUUCUUUUUUCUUGAUAUCAGUACAUUUUAUACUACUGCCAUACAAAUGAUUAUGAUUUGUAAUAUUUAACUUAUAAAUUGUAUAAUUCUACUACAAAUACUUCAUAUGCUUCCUGAAUAACAUAAUGAAAAUUGCAUAGUUUUUACAUAUGAUUUUUCUUAGUUAUUAAUUAGCGUCAAUGUGUUGCAAUAUGGAAUAUUUUUACCAAUAAUUUCCCAUUAAAAUAAAAACAUAUACUCUACAUGUAAAUUAAAUUGUAUAUAUUCACUC
rnacentral:lncRNA from 1 species